AUUGAACGCUGGCGGAAUGCUUUACACAUGCAAGUCGAACGGCAGCACGGGGGCAACCCUGGUGGCGAGUGGCGAACGGGUGAGUAAUACAUCGGAACGUGCCCGGUCGUGGGGGAUAACGUAGCGAAAGUUACGCUAAUACCGCAUACGAUCUGAGGAUGAAAGCGGGGGACCUUCGGGCCUCGCGCGAUCGGGGCGGCCGAUGUCAGAUUAGGUAGUUGGUGGGGUAAAGGCCUACCAAGCCGACGAUCUGUAGCUGGUCUGAGAGGACGACCAGCCACACUGGGACUGAGACACGGCCCAGACUCCUACGGGAGGCAGCAGUGGGGAAUUUUGGACAAUGGGCGCAAGCCUGAUCCAGCCAUUCCGCGUGCAGGACGAAGGCCUUCGGGUUGUAAACUGCUUUUGUAUGGAACGAAAAGGCUCUGGCUAAUACCUGGGGCUCAUGACGGUACCGUAAGAAUAAGCACCGGCUAACUACGUG
rnacentral:rRNA from 1 species